rnacentral:rRNA from 1 species
CCCUGCCAUUUGUACACACCGCCCGUCGCACCUACCGAUUGAAUGGUCCGGUGAAAUCUUUGGACCGUGACUUUGUUUUAAUUCUGUUAAAACACUGACAUGGAAAGUUGAUUAAACCUUACCAUUUA